rnacentral:lncRNA from 1 species
AGACAUCACUCCUCACAUUUUUCCACUCAUAAAAACUCAUACACAGAUGCAGAUAGCCAUCGAUAUACAGGACACCACAUUCACUCACAAUAGAAUAUACAUACACACUGCAAAUUCACACACUAGACAUAUACACACAACAACACCCAUCUCAAAGCCUCCAUUUUUUCUCACAUACGCACCAUCAGAAAGGAGAGAGGAACCUAUACACAGCAACGCACUCACACACAUAUACAUAUACGAACAUCCACAGCAACACAUAAAAAGGAGGGCUUGAUUUUCUCCAUUGAUCCCUCAUUCACCUUCUACACAUCCUCACUACACAGAAAUAUACACAACGCAGACUGGAGAUGGAGGGAAUCACACAUCAUCACUCUUAGGAACACAAUCACAGACCUCACCUAUUCCAUACACACACAAUCACUAAAAUUAACUCACACACGUACAAACACAGUUGAACAACGGAGAAUCGGUAGCAAAGGAAGAGAAAAUGGCGGAGGGGAGAUAGAGAUCAGAAAUAGAAAAGAUCUCUCUCUCUCGAGAAAGAAAAUAGAGAGAAAACUGGUUUUAGCUUGGUUUUCGGUGAAGCCUCGUCGGAAUACACCGUCCCAUCACUGCCAAACAGCCAAAAACCCAAAACCAGCGAGAACACCCCAAAUAUCUGAUAAGAAAUCGACCAAUCUCACGUUCUUUGCUACUAUUUGGGUCGCUGGAGCUGCAAACAAGAGCCCACUUAGAUUUCAACAAACCCAUUUAAGUUCAAGCCAAAAUCGGCAGUUUAGGCUCGUAUUGUGGUUGUUUUAGGCUGGUCUGUUGGGAUCGAGGUUCGAAUCGAGAGUUUUCAAAUCCGUCUUUGUCUUUCGAUCACAUAAUUUGGCACAAUAAAAGCUUCAAUCGAGGUUCAAAUCUAUUGUUCUCUUUUUAUUUCAUCUUUUAUUAUAUUUAGUGUGUUACAUUAAAUAUCAUGUGUUGUUUGAUCUUGGUUGGUGAUGAAUUGCUACUUGUUUGAUUUGGAUGAUUGUUACUUGUUUGAUUUGGAUGAUUCUCUUGGAUUAUGAUUUAUAUGAUGAAAUGAUAUUUUGUUUGAGAAUUAAGAUUGGUUUUUUGGGGCGAGAUUAAAAAUUGAAAGAAGUGAAUAUUGAUUUUAUUUUGAUUCAUUGAUGAUUGUUUAAUUCGAAAUAUGUAUUGAUGUUGUUAAAUGCAAUUGCGUCACAAUGGGUUGAAAUUGGAAGGCAAAUGGUAGGACGGGUAGGAAAAUUUAGGCAUUGUGAAUUGAUGGAAUGUUUGAAAUGUGUGUUAAAAUGGUUUUGUUUUAUCGCAUUUGAUUCAAUUGUACUCAUUUGCUCGGGGAAUGCCCCGAGAUAUUUAUAUUGUUUUAUCCAGGAAAUGCCUCGAGAAAGUUGUACUCAAAGAUGGUUCGUGAUCAAGGCCCGAGGUAUUGGGUAGAGCAUAGGCUAGGAUUAGUUUAGAAUAGGAUUUAUAUUUAAGCAUUUUUCUAUUUUCUAGACUUUAUAAUUCGGUCAUAGACACUAUUUUGGAUUUUUGAUUAUUUGGUUGUUUUGUUUGCUUGUUAUAUGUUUUGUUGGUUUAUACACUUCGUAGCAUUAUACUAGCUGAUAUACUCCAUGAAGAGACCAUGGUCGAACCACGGGAUCGAGGGGUGCAUAACACCUUCCCCUCGAUCAACCAAAAUCCUCAGCUGGAAUCUCUGUUCGCGAAUCAGUAUCUAGAGUCAAAUCAUUUUGAAAAAAGAUUUUUCAAAGAUGACUUGGCACACCAGAUUUAUGUCAAGUGGCGACUCUUAGUUUAAAUAUAAGAAGUCCUUUUCAAAACUAAUUUUCAUUUCUUGUCAUUUAAUAAUAAAAUCCUUUCAAACUUAUAAUCAUUCCUUUUGGUAAAAAGGGGUGUGACAGCUCUGGGCACUAGCUGGGGAGACUUUUUUUGAAUUCAAGCUUAUUUUUGGGGUAAUAUAGUCAUUUGAUGGACUGAUUGUUGCAUCUUUGAGGGUAAUAUAGUCAUUUGAUGGACUGAUUGUUGCAUCAUGCUUCUCUGGCUCCUUAGUAUAAGCCUAAUAUAUUCACAACACCAUAUGUCAUCUCUGAUUUUGCUGCUCAACCCUCUACUGAGGCUUCCAUAUUGUCUAUCCGCCCAG